UGGAGAUUCGAAUCCGGCAAGUAAGAUACUAUGUACAGAGACAACUCAUCAUUCAAGCAACAUACAGGACAAGCAGCUAAUAACAUCAUAUGCAAACAUACUCAAUUCUCAUUCAUUUGAGAAGUACUUCCGGAUUGAGAAGUUGAGGUUGAAUUGUUUCCUCCAGAAUGAGAACUUGAGGAAGAGAACAGACCAUUGAAAGGCCACGGAAUUGAAAAUCUACUCCCACUUUCAUUUCUCCCUUCACCAUCUCCCUCUUCACUGCUAGCAUGAGUACCAUGAUCGCUACUAUGAUGCUCAUGCUCCCUUUGGUGGUUACUGCUGUUCCG
rnacentral:lncRNA from 1 species